rnacentral:rRNA from 1 species
AUGCAAGUCGAACGGAAUGUCUUCGGCAUUCAUGUGGCGGACGGGUGAGUAACGCGUGAGAAUCUGCCUUCAGGAUGGGGACAACAGUGAGAAAUCGCUGCAAAAACCCAAUGUGCCGAAAGGUGAAAUAUUUAUAGCCUGAAGAGGAGCUCGCGUCCGAUUAGUUAGUUGGUGGGGUAAAGGCCUACCAAGGCAGCGAUCGGUAGCUGGUCUGAGAGGAUGAGCAGCCACACUGGGACUGAGACACGGCCCAGACUCCUACGGGAGGCAGCAGUGGGGAAUUUUCCCCAAUGGGCGAAAGCCUGACAGAGCAAUACCGCGUGAGGGAGGAAGGUUUUUGGAUUGUAAACCUCUUUUUUAAAGGAAGAAAAAAGUGACGGUACUUUAAGAAUAAGCAUCGGCUAACUCCGUGCCAGCAGCGG